GACGAACGCUGGCGGCGUGCUUAACACAUGCAAGUCGAACGGAAAGGCCCUGCUUUUGUGGGGUGCUCGAGUGGCGAACGGGUGAAUAACACGUGAGUAACCUGCCCUUGACUUUGGGAUAACUUCAGGAAACUGGGGCUAAUACCGGAUAGGAGCUCCUGCUGCAUGGUGGGGGUUGGAAAGUUUCGGCGGUUGGGGAUGGACUCGCGGCUUAUCAGCUUGUUGGUGGGGUAGUGGCUUACCAAGGCUUUGACGGGUAGCCGGCCUGAGAGGGUGACCGGCCACAUUGGGACUGAGAUACGGCCCAGACUCCUACGGGAGGCAGCAGUGGGGAAUAUUGCACAAUGGGCGGAAGCCUGAUGCAGCAACGCCGCGUGCGGGAUGACGGCCUUCGGGUUGUAAACCGCUUUCGCCUGUGACGAAGCGUGAGUGACGGUAAUGGGUAAAGAAGCACCGGCUAACUACGUG
rnacentral:rRNA from 1 species